GCAAGUCGAACGGAUCCUUCGGGAUUAGUGGCGGACGGGUGAGUAACACGUGGGAACGUGCCUUUUGGUUCGGAACAACUCAGGGAAACUUGAGCUAAUACCGGAUAAGCCCUUCGGGGGAAAGAUUUAUCGCCAUUAGAGCGGCCCGCGUAGGAUUAGCUAGUUGGUGGGGUAAAGGCCCACCAAGGCUACGAUCCUUAGCUGGUCUGAGAGGAUGAUC
rnacentral:rRNA from 1 species